rnacentral:rRNA from 1 species
AGUGAACGCUGGCGGUAGGCCUAACACAUGCAAGUCGAACGGCAGCACAGUAAGAGCUUGCUCUUACGGGUGGCGAGUGGCGGACGGGUGAGGAAUACAUCGGAAUCUACUUUUUCGUGGGGGAUAACGUAGGGAAACUUACGCUAAUACCGCAUACGACCUACGGGUGAAAUCAGGGGAUCUUCGGACCUUGCGCGAUUGAAUGAGCCGAUGUCGGAUUAGCUAGUUGGCGAGGUAAAGGCCCACCAAGGCGACGAUCCGUAGCUGGUCUGAGAGGAUGAUCAGCCACACUGGAACUGAGACACGGUCCAGACUCCUACGGGAGGCAGCAGUGGGGAAUAUUGGACAAUGGGCGCAAGCCUGAUCCAGCCAUACCGCGUGAGUGAAGAAGGCCUUCGGGUUGUAAAGCCCUUUUGUUGGGAAAGAAAAGCAGCAGGUUAAUACCCCGCUGUUCUGACGGUACCCAAAGAAUAAGCACCGGCUAACUUCGUG